rnacentral:rRNA from 1 species
CUGGGUGUAAAGGGAGCGCAGACGGCCAAGCAAGUCUGAAGUGAAAUGCAUGGGCUCAACCCAUGAAUUGCUUUGGAAACUGUUAGGCUUGAGUGUCGGAGAGGUAAGCGGAAUUCCUAGUGUAGCGGUGAAAUGCGUAGAUAUUAGGAGGAACACCGGAGGCGAAGGCGGCUUACUGGACGACAACUGACGUUGAGGCUCGAAGGCGUGGGGAGCAAACAGGAUUAGAUACCCUGGUAGUCAAGGGCG